rnacentral:tRNA from 1 species
GGCUUCAUGGUCUAGUGGUAUGAUUCCUGCUUUGGGUAUUCCUCAAAUUUGCAGGAGGCCCCGCGUUCGAAUCGCGGUGGAGCCC